UACGUAGGGGGCAAGCGUUGUCCGGAAUCAUUGGGCGUAAGGCGCGCGUAGGCGGCCCGGUAAGUCCGUUGUGAAAGUCAAAGGCUCAACCUUUGAACGCCGAUGGAUACUGCCGGGCUAGAGUCCGGAAGAGGCGAGUGGAAUUCCUGGUGUAGCGGUGGAAUGCGCAGAUAUCAGGAGGAACACCAAUAGCGAAGGCAGCUCGCUGGGACGGUACUGACGCUGAGGCGCGAAAGCGUGGGGAGCGAACAGG
rnacentral:rRNA from 1 species